ACAGAGGACCGAAGAAAUUAAAUCUAUGGUGUAUUAGUUAUUUUAUUAAAAGUAUUUGCUAAGUAGCCAAAUUUAAAUAAUAUUAUUCACUGAAAUCAUAUAAGUGAUAAAAAUAUUUUAAGAUAAAUGUUCUUAUCUAUUUAGAAUAAGAUAACAAACAUAUAAUUUGAUAAAAAGAAAAAAUGUAUACAAUUAGUAAUAAUUUUAGCAUUUUUUACUAAAAAUUCGAUGUUAUAUUUUU
rnacentral:ncRNA from 1 species